UACGGGGGAGCAAGCGUUGUUCGGAUUUACUGGGCGUAAAGGGCGCGUAGGCGGCCACCGCAAGUCGACUGUGAAAGUCUCCGGGCUUAACCCGGAAAGGUCAGCCGAUACUGCGGGCUAGAGUGCAGAAGGGGCAAGCUGGAAUUCUCGGUGUAGCGGUGAAAUGCGUAGAUAUCGGAGGAACACCGGUGGCGAAGGCGGCAAUCCUGGCC
rnacentral:rRNA from 1 species